UUAGAUGUCCGGGGCCGCACGCGCGCCACAAUGGAGGGAUCAGCGUGUGUCUCUCUUCCCUGUCCGCGAGGACUGGGUAACCCGCUGAACCCCCUCCGUGACGGGGACUGGCGCUUGGAAUUCUUCGCCACGAACGAGGAAUUUCCAGUAGGCGCGGGUCAUAAGCCCGCGUCGAUUACGUCCCUGCCCUUUGUGCACACCGCCCGUCACUACCUCCGAUUGAGUGAGCAGGUGAGGUCGUCGGACUGGAGAGCGGCGGACCCCGGAGAGGUUUAAACUCCUCUACGUGUAACCCGCGAUCCGGAAAGACGCCCGAACUUGGUCACUUAGAGGAGGUAAAAGUCGUAACAAGGUAACC
rnacentral:rRNA from 1 species